rnacentral:tmRNA from 1 species
GGGGGCGAAGGUAACUCGACGGGCGAAAAGGCCGAAGGGCAGAGUCCGGACGCGGGUUAGAUUCCCGCCGCCUCCACCA